rnacentral:misc_RNA from 1 species
CUAUCAUGCCCCAUUGUUUGUACAGCAAGUCCAGAUAAGUUAUUGCCUUCCUCAGUGAAGGGUGGUUAUACACAUGGCAUUUCUGUCUCGCACACUCGUAUUGAGGGUGGUGCCAAGGCUGUCCUAACGAGUGACAACCUGGCAUUACAGCAUGUUCGAGUUAUUUAUGCUCGAACGGCUCUGUUCUUUUGGUUUGAUGUUGAAUACAAG